UGUGAGUGAAGAAGGCCUUCGGGCCGUAAAGCUCUGUCAAGUGGGAAUAAAGUCUCUCGGUGAAUACCCGAGAGAUCUGAAGGUACCACUAAAGGGAACACCGGCUAACUCCGUGCCAGCAGCCGCGGUAAUACGGAGGGUGCAAGCGUUAUUCGGAUUUAUUGGGCGUAAAGAGCGUGUAGGCGGUUGGGAUAGUCAGAUGUGAAAGCCUUCUGCUCAACAGAAGAAGUACGUCUGAAACUGCCCAACUUGAGUACGAGAGAGGAAAGUGGAAUUCCCAAUGUAGAGGUGAAAUUCGUAGAUAUUGGGAGGAACACCUGUGGCGAAGGCGACUUUCUGGAUCGAUACUGACGCUGAGACGCGAAAGCGUGGGUAGCAAACAGGAUUAGAUACCCUGGUAGUCCACGCUGUAAACGAUGGGAACUAGGUGUAGCGGGUAUUGAUCCCUGCUGUGCCAAAGCUAACGCAUUAA
rnacentral:rRNA from 1 species